AGAGGCAGUGGUAAACACCGAGAGCAUCUAGGGAGGAGAGUGGCCUGAGCCGAGUUGGGGAAAGCUGAAAAGAGGAAGAUUCGGGGAGUGGCCAGACGCUAAGGACUGGAGCUUGCAGGACACGGACGCCUUCGUGCUGGUCUACGACAUCUGCAGCCCGGACAGUUUCGACUACGUGAAGGCCCUGCGGCAGCGCAUCGCGGAGACCAGGUAGGGGCCCGGCAGUUCUGGCGGUGGGGAGCUAGGACAGGUCUGGCAGGGCCUUUGCCUGAGGAGAGUGUGUAGGGUCUCCCAACGUCGUGGGCCGGGUCUUAGGCCUUCGCCCGUGGGAAGGUCUUAAGCUGUAUGUGCUCUUUGGCCCACAUGGGCCUGGGGUUUCGUUUGGCGGGGGUGUCUCUGGCCGUAGGAAGGGAAUGCGCCUGCGUGUGUAUACCCACUGGGGGAAUUCUUCGGCCGUGGGGCCCCCGGCACCGCGUCUCUCAUCUCCCAUUCGGCCCCCAGGCCGGCGGGCGCGCCCGAAGCGCCCAUCCUCGUG
rnacentral:sRNA from 1 species